rnacentral:piRNA from 1 species
UGCUGAGUUCUCUCCUGCCUCCUGACC